UACGUAGGGUGCAAGCGUUGUCCGGAAUUAUUGGGCGUAAAGAGCUUGUAGGCGGUUUGUCGCGUCUGCUGUGAAAUUUCGGGGCUCAACCCCGAACUUGCAGUGGGUACGGGCAGACUAGAGUGUGGUAGGGGGAGACUGGAAUUCCUGGUGUAGCGGUGAAAUGCGCAGAUAUCAGGAGGAACACCGAUGGCGAAGGCAGGUCUCUGGGCCACUACUGACGCUGAGAAGCGAAAGCAUGGGGAGCGAACGGG
rnacentral:rRNA from 1 species